rnacentral:lncRNA from 1 species
GCUGGCAGCCUUUGCUGUUGGCCAAGAGAGGCUGGUGAUUCCAGAUUAAAGGUGGGCUCUUUGCUUUGAUGUUGCUGUGCAGGGGAUUGGAGGAUGUGUAGUGUUCUUUUCCUAGCCCUGCUACCCUAAGCCCCACUGAACUAGUUCUGACUGUGAUGGCCGAUACAUCAUAGGAGAUGGCUGCCAAAGAACCAUGAAAGUUAUUCCAUGAACCAUGGCUGAAGAAUCAUCAAUAAUUCUUUGUGUAUAGAGAGACCAAGAGAAGAAAAAAAA